rnacentral:rRNA from 1 species
AGUGAACGCUGGCGGUAGACCUAACACAUGCAAGUCGAACGGCAGCACAGUAAGAGCUUGCUCUUACGGGUGGCGAGUGGCGGACGGGUGAGGAAUACAUCGGAAUCUACUUUUUCGUGGGGGAUAACGUAGGGAAACUUACGCUAAUACCGCAUACGACCUACGGGUGAAAGCAGGGGAUCUUCGGACCUUGCGCGAUUGAAUGAGCCGAUGUCGGAUUAGCUAGUUGGCGGGGUAAAGGCCCACCAAGGCGACGAUCCGUAGCUGGUAUGAGAGGAUGAUCAGCCACACUGGAACUGAGACACGGUCCAGACUCCUACGGGAGGCAGCAGUGGGGAAUAUUGGACAAUGGGCGCAAGCCUGAUCCAGCCAUACCGCGUGGGUGAAGAAGGCCUUCGGGUUGUAAAGCCCUUUUGUUGGGAAAGAAAAGCAGCAGGUUAAUACCCCGCUGCUCUGACGGUACCCAAAGAAUAAGCACCGGCUAACUUCGUG